rnacentral:tRNA from 1 species
GGUUGUGGCUCAGUGGUAGAGCACUUGUCUAGCAUGCAUGAAGCAGGGUUCAAUCCCCAGCACCA